ensembl:misc_RNA Y_RNA Y RNA
GGUUCAUUCAAGUGUGGUGGUGUUUACAACUAAUUGAUCACAACCAGUUACAGAUUUCUUUGUUCCUUUUCCACUCCCACUGCUUCAGUUGAGAAACAGAA